UAAGGAAAUGCAUGCAAAAUAAAUAAUAUGUACAAUUUACAUACUUAAAAUUUUAAAUAUUUAAUGCUGCCAUAAAUGUUUUCUAUAGGCACUAUAAUAGACUGCUGUUAAAAAUGCAAACCAGGAGAAAUUUUCUAUAGGGGAGAUUACUCCUGACUUCUGUGUGGUCCCUUGAAGUUAUACAACCUAAAGCAAGAGUGAAUAUGUAAAUGUGUUGAAGCAAUCUACAUGCAGAAGGUUCUGACUGAGAUGUUCUGUUUAAUAAAUGUAAAACAGCUGCAUUUUAAAAUUAUAUCUC